rnacentral:lncRNA from 1 species
AUACAUACAUGACAUGUCACAUUCAAAAUUGAGAUAUACUGCAGAUAACACAUUACAUGCAUGAGUGGCAAUCAUAUGGGUUCUGCUUUGAAUCACACGAUUCAGACAGUUGUGAACAUUGAUGAUCAUGAUUGUGUGGUAACUGUAUAUACUGAUUACGAACCAGGAAAAGAAACUAACGGUAGCUCACAGUUCUUUUAGAAAAACAUAAAGGUACUAACUGGCAGUUAUAUUUCCACCAUCACUCCUAGUUGUGACUUCCUACAAGAAAUGAGAACGAAAAUGAUAUUACAGCCUCAUGUCCCUUCCUUGUUUGGCCAUUAUAUUCGACAUGUUCCUUCCCUGAACAAAAGAGAUCAAUAGUGAGCAUUAAAGACCCCUGAAAACUCAAUAGGAUAUACGCCAUGGCAGUAUCUGCCCCGUUUUCAUAUUCAUUCAAUGCACAUUACCAAAAUCUAAUAGUAAUCAAACUUGAAUUAAAAUGGUACAUAAAGUUUUUGUAGUUAGAGAUAGGACCAAGUUGGAAUAGUAUAGAGAAAAUCAAACUUUAUCCUAGCAUUACACGGAAGAAACGUGACCCACUUAUCAUAUGAACAGAAACAGACCGAGAAAUUUAUUUACCAUCAGAUGUCGAUCUCUAUAUUUCCGCUUUGCAAAUGAUCCCAAUUUAAAGCUUGAUAUCCGUUGGAAUCUUCACAUUACACUGCAACCUACAAAGCUUGAAUAAGGCCACUAACGUUCAGAGCAUAGCUUAAAGAAUUGUGCAAUUAGCUCAUGAAAGCCCCCUGAUGUAACAUUUUUACCUGGUUGGUGAUGCAUGGUGGUCUACUAUGCGCAAUAAAAUACAACAAGUAAACCAGAUAAUGAUCAUAUUAAGUACUACAUCAUCAAUAGGCUGAUCAUGUUUGCACUGCCAAUUACUACAGACUUACACACGCUCCCUUCAAAUUUCAAGAACUGCUUAGCCAACAAUUCCAAGUUCAAGCAUGAAGUAGUCAAAAUGAAAUAACUCAAAAUAUUUUUAGAAUCACAACAUAGAAGGAUACUCUUGAGGACUAUGUGAACCUAGAAGACCAGGAAAAACAAUAUUUCAACUUCGCAAUGAUAUAAGGGCAUCUCCAUCACUGGGCGCUUAGCCCCGGCGCCAGGCUCGUAAUCCCAGCAGAUUAGCGGUUGCCGGCUAUAAUCCUGGCGUCAACCCUGGCGUCGACGCCAAAUCACGCACCCGGCGCUUGGCCAUUUUUCUUCCAUCACUUAGCAUCUACGUUGUUUAGUUAAUUAGCGUCUAGCGUUGAGGGAUGAGGCGCUUAGGUGUUCUUCAGAUUUUAUUAUUUUGUUCGUAAGCGCCUAUGUAAGCUCCUAGCAUUGUAGAUGCCCAAAGGGAAACAUAUUAAAUAAUAGCAGUUGUGAAUGGGCAUAUAAGUAUAUAUCACCACCUUUAGUCCACGACAACAUGUAAAUUAUCUACUUAAUAGUAAACGGUGUAUCUAGAGAUAAUGCUAACCAAUUCUGCAUACAAAACGCUUUCGAGAUGGAAAAUUAUAAUUUACUCCUAACGUUCCUUGUAGAUUGUGGUUGCUCAAAGUCAAAUAGCUGCAAUACAUGAAAACUUUUAUAUCAAUUAAAACUACUUCAGUAGUACAUACGCACAUGAUCAAGGAUAAAAUGAAUACUACUACACACAAAUGGUUAAGUAGACAAAACACCAUAUGUUCAAUCACACAAGCGGCAAGCAUGAGCCAAAAUAGAACAAAACUCUGUGCCAAAUCCUGAAUAUAAACACAAUCGAAACUAAUAUCCAUGACAACACAUAGGAAAGAAAAGAAUGCAGUAGAUAAAUAGAAAAGGAAGUGAACAAAACCACUGGCAGAACAAGCAAGCAACAACAUGCAGAGAUCUUACAGCCUGCGACAUAAAAGGGGAGGAACUCAUCAGGCAGAAGCAUUAAUCCAAAAGAACCUCAUCUCCACUGACCAUGCAGACCCAGCCACUCAUGCUCUCCACGACGACGAGGUGCGCCCGAUCCGGAAUCACGGAAAAUCACACUGCAAACUAAAUACUGGAGCAUCAGAUUAGCAGCUAUAUAUUCCAAGCAUGCAUUUUUAACUGUAAAAGAGCUAAUAAAGUGUUUACUUCAAGAAAAUACAGCAGGCCAAACAAAAAAUGUCUUUCUAAAGGUGAACAAAAAAUGAAAUAUCAAUCCUAAUAAUUAGGGUGUGCAGGACCAAAUAAUUAAUAUGCCACUUUGGAAAGAAAACUUCAAAAUGUAC